UUGGAGGGCAAGUCUGGUGCCAGCAGCCGCGGUAAUUCCAGCUCCAAUAGCGUAUAUUAAAGUUGUUGCAGUUAAAAAGCUCGUAGUUGAAUUUCGGGACCAAUUUGUUGGUCGUGCCUCGGUACGUACUGGUAUUAUUGGUUUCUCCCUUCUGAAGAACCUUGAUGUCAUUAAUUUGGUGUCUUGGGGAAUCAGGACUGUUACUUUGAAAAAAUUAGAGUGUUUAAAGCAGGCAUACGCUUGAAUACAUUAGCAUGGAAUAAUGAAAUAGGACGUUUGAUUCUAUUUUGUUGGUUUCUAGGAUCGACGUAAUGAUUAAUAGGGAUAGUUGGGGGCAUUAGUAUUCAAUUGUCAGAGGUGAAAUUCUUGGAUUUAUUGAAGACUAACUACUGCGAAAGCAUUUGCCAAGGAUGUUUUCAUUAAUCAAGAACGAAAGUUAGGGGAUCGAAGACGAUCAGAUACCGUCGUAGUCUUAACCAUAAACUAUGCCGACUAGGGAUCGGAUGAUGUUAAUUUUUUAAUGACUCAUUCGGCGCCUUACGGGAAAC
rnacentral:rRNA from 3 species